rnacentral:rRNA from 1 species
UUACCAAGGCUUGACAUGCUGGAAGUAGCGAACCGAAAGGGGAGCCAACUGUUAAGUCAGUAGCCUGCACAGGUGCUGCAUGGCUGUCGUCAGCUCGUGCCGUGAGGUGUUGGGUUAAGUCCCCCAACGAGCGUAACCCUUGUUGCCAGUUAUUUUCUCUGGCGAGACUGCCCCGCAAAACGGGGAGGAAGGUGGGGAUGACGUCAAGUCAGCACGGCCUUUAUGCCUUGGGCUACACACACGCUACAAUGGACGGUACAAUGGGUUGCAAUGGAGUGAUUCGGAGCUAAUCCUGAAAGCCGUUCUCAGUUCGGAUUGCAGGCUGAAACCCGCCUGCAUGAAGUCGGAGUUGCUAGUAACCGUGAGUCAGCAUAUUACGGUGAAUACGUUCUCGGGCCUUGUACACACCGCCCGUCACGUCAUGAAAGCUGGUAACACUUGAAGUCGAUGAGCUAACCCUUGAAUAGAGGGAGGCAGUCGCCGAGGGUGGGACUAGUGAUUGGGACGAAGUCGUAACAAGGUAGCC